UGUUAAAAGUUUAAUCCAUUUCAACUAUUAAAAACUUGUGUGAUUGACAAAAUAGCCAGACAAUUACAUGCAGCGUGUUACAUGUACCUCAUGCUGAUGUACAUAGACUAAUUUUUAACAGAAUGAUCAGUUUGUUCUUUUAUCU
rfam:Gossypium raimondii Chr04_contig_1275, whole genome shotgun sequence.